UGGGAAUAUUGGACAAUGGGCGCAAGCCUGAUCCAGCCAUGCCGCGUGAGUGAUGACGGCCUUAGGGUUGUAAAGCUCUUUUGUCCGGGACGAUAAUGACGGUACCGGAAGAAUAAGCCCCGGCUAACUUCGUGCCAGCAGCCGCGGUAAUACGAAGGGGGCUAGCGUUGCUCGGAAUCACUGGGCGUAAAGGGCGCGUAGGCGGCUUGCCAAGUCGGGGGUGAAAGCCCGUGGCUCAACCACGGAAUGGCCUUCGAUACUGGCAGGCUUGAGACCGGAAGAGGACAGCGGAACUGCGAGUGUAGAGGUGAAAUUCGUAGAUAUUCGCAAGAACACCAGUGGCGAAGGCGGCUGUCUGGUCCGGUUCUGACGCUGAGGCGCGAAAAGCGUGGGGAGCAAAACAGGAUUAGAUACCCUGGUAGUCCACGCUGUAAAACGAUGAAAUGCUAGCCGUUGGGGUGCAUGCACCUCAGUGGCGCCGCUAACGCAUUAAGCAUUCCGCCUGGGGAGUACGGUCGCAAAGAUUAAAAACUCAAAAGGAAAUUGAACGGGGUCAUAGCUGUUUCCUG
rnacentral:rRNA from 1 species